CAAAAUUGAAAUCAAGUCUAUAACAUAAAUCCAUAAAAAAACAAUCUCAAGUCCAAGCUCUAAGGAAACGUAAACUACUAUGUAUUCGGCCUGUUACUCACUCCGAGUUUUGCGAUAUGUAUGACUGCAACUGCACUCUCUACCUAAUUCCUUAGCUCUAGUAUCCUCUGUGCGACCUGAUGGGUGGUUCAGGGUCAGUCUUUCGUGUUUAAACAUAUUUCAUUUGUCUAUUUAGUAGUGCUAUUCUAGAGGCACAUCACUUUGUAACGUAACAAAAGUAAUAACAUAACAUAAUAUAAAUAUUGAAUCAUAUAUUCAUGGCAUAGAAUUUAAUGCAUCCAAUAACAUAGUUAACCUAACUACUACAACGAUAAGAAUUUACCCCCUUAAACCAACCCACCUUAUAAUCAAGUGGCGAAAGUCCAAUCCGACGGAUGAAGAUGAAAGCUGAUAGGCUUGAUCGUCUUUAAGAACCUAAAGACGUCAUGUUUAAGAACCUAAAGACGGGAACUUGAAAUAUUAGAUUUUAUUCCAAAAUAGGCUGAAGUAGUCCGGGGCGAUAGUCUUGACGACAUUUGAAGAAUUGACUUCACAAUUAUUGUGAUGUGUCGGAAAAGAUUAAUCAGAAAGAAUUCGUGUUCUAAGGAUUUUGCGGCCUUAAAGGAUUUUAUUAUUUUCACGAGUCAAUGAGUUACACAUGAAGAGAAGCUGUUAUAAUCUACAAUUACUUUUCUUGAAGAAGUACAUUAUUAUAAAGCCUUAUUCAUUCUAAUUAUAAGAGAGAAAAUAAUUCCUUAAUUCAACUAGUGACAAUAGAAAUUUAUGAACUAACACUUAAUUGAAUUCUAAAUUAUAAUUACAAACCUAAGGUUAAUUUUGUCACCUAUAGUAUUAAAAAUAAAGAUCCUAAUAUUAUUUUGGAAGAUUAUUAUGAUCCUAACCCGAUUGGAAUUGAUUCUAAGACUUAAUGAACUAUGCAAGUCAUUUUGGGUCCAUUUUGUAAUACCUGGAAAGUUACAGAUCGCGACAACUACAAGGGAUAGCUUAUUAUUAAAAUGUCGGAUUCUAACAGUUUAAUUACGUCAAGCAAUUUACUAUGACUUGGGGCGCUGGUUAUAGUUUCUGGACAUUCAGUGACCACAUCACAAACGCUAGACUCUAGGUACUUCCACAGAUGUUUACCGGUCAUCUUCUCCAUUAAUCUUGGAGAAGAAAACCAGAAUUUUGGUGAGGGAAUCUGAGGCUCUGGUGAAUGAGGAAUUGCCUGAAAACUCGACAAGAACGACAACCAAACAUACGAUUUAGUUCCUGACCUUACUUCAAACCUAUCCAAACGAAUCGAAAGGCUUGGCUCCUCCUUAUAAGGCUCUGGACAAGUCAAAAACGUCGCCGCUGCCAUGGGAUUAAAAUAUGGAAAUUAAACUCUAAGAACUCAAUGACUGGUUCAAUCGGUGAGAAGAUUUGAACGCAUGGGAGGAGGAACAAACUUCCUUACCUUAACCAAGAUCGGGUGGUGGUUUAAAUCAGCGAAUGAAAGCAACUGCCGCAAACAAAGUCGUCAAUGAUGGGAAUCCUACUCUUCUAAAUGGAUAAGGACCAUCAAGAUUUGAUUAGUGUGACUAACCGGCUACAUCGAACAGCAAGGACGAAACAAGAGGAUGUGUGUAUCGUUACCUGCGUUCCUCAAGCUCCUAAUCAUUCGUUUUAGCCGCUACCAAUCGAUCAGUAAGAUUGGGAGGAGGAGCUUUCUUAUGGAUUCGUUCGAUUAGGCAAAGGAUGAAUGAAUCGAUGGGUUUUAAUACCAAAAUUCCUACGCGGUUGGAUUUGAGAAAAGGAAAG
rnacentral:lncRNA from 1 species